rnacentral:rRNA from 1 species
UCGAGCGGAAUGACGAGAGCUUGCUCUCUGAUUUUAGCGGCGGACGGGUGAGUAACACGUGGGCAACCUGCCCUACAGAUGGGGAUAACUCCGGGAAACCGGGGCUAAUACCGAAUAAUCAGUUUGUCCGCAUGGACAAACUCUGAAAGACGGUUUCGGCUGUCACUGUAGGAUGGGCCCGCGGCGCAUUAGCUAGUUGGUGGGGUAAUGGCCUACCAAGGCAACGAUGCGUAGCCGACCUGAGAGGGUGAUCGGCCACACUGGGACUGAGACACGGCCCAGACUCCUACGGGAGGCAGCAGUAGGGAAUCUUCCACAAUGGACGAAAGUCUGAUGGAGCAAUGCCGCGUGAGCGAAGAAGGUUUUCGGAUCGUAAAGCUCUGUUGUAAGGGAAGAACACGUACGGGAGUAACUGCCCGUGCCAUGACGGUACCUUAUUAGAAAGCCACGGCUAACUACGUGCCAGCAGCCGCGGUAAUACGUAGGUGGCAAGCGUUGUCCGGAAUUAUUGGGCGUAAAGCGCGCGCAGGCGGUUCUUUAAGUCUGAUGUGAUAGCCCACGGCUCAACCGUGGAGGGUCAUUGGAAACUGGAGAACUUGAGUACAGAAGAGGAAAGCGGAAUUCCACGUGUAGCGGUGAAAUGCGUAGAGAUGUGGAGGA